CCUUUCAAAGGAAAUGAUCCCUGGCGAUAAAAGAAAGUAAAUAAGGGCGCAUGGCGGAUGCCUUGGCUCUCGGAGGCGAUGAAGGACGUGAUAAGCUGCGAUAAGCUUCGGGUAGGUGCAAAUGACCUUUGAUCCGA
rnacentral:rRNA from 1 species